rnacentral:tRNA from 1 species
CCGACCUUAGCUCAGUUGGUAGAGCGGAGACUGUAGUAGGUACUGCCAGAUAUCCUUAGGUCGCUGGUUCGAAUCCGGCAGGUCGGA